GACAGAGGGUGCAAACGUUGUUCGGAAUUACUGGGCGUAAAGCGAGUGUAGGCGGUCUCAUAAGUCGGGUGUGAAAGCCCUGGGCUCAACCUAGGAAGUGCAUUCGAAACUGCGAGGCUGGAGUCCUGGAGAGGAAGGCGGAAUUCUCGGUGUAGAGGUGAAAUUCGUAGAUAUCGAGAGGAACACCGGUGGCGAAGGCGGCCUUCUGGACAGUGACUGACGCUGAGACGCGAAAGCGUGGGGAGCAAACAGG
rnacentral:rRNA from 1 species